UCUGCAGCCAAGGAUGGUGAUUACUGGAGAUUGCUUGUGCCUGGAAAUUACAAACUUACAGCCUCAGCACCAGGCUAUCUAGCAAUAACUAAAAAAGUGGCUGUGCCCUUUAGCCCAGCAGUUGUGGUUGAUUUUGAACUGGAGUCAUUGUCUGAAAGAAAAGAAGAGGAGAAAGAAGAGUUGAUGGAAUGGUGGAAGAUGAUGUCAGAAACACUAAAUUUUUAAAUGAAGAUUUUGACUUUACAGCUUUUAAUCUAUUAUAUGUUGACUUAGUAUAAUGUACUGUGGAAAAUUCCUAUAUUCUAGAUUUUGUGCACUUUGCAAUAAUUAACUUUGAAUUUUUCAGUCAUCUUUUGAUUAAUAUGACUAUAACUACUAGCCUCCUAGUUAGAUAAAUAAGUUACUAAUUUUCUUUCAUAUUGUUAUAGAAAAUUUACUCUUAUAUACAAAUCAGAAAAAAAAAUGAGUGAAUGUCUCUGCAGCCUAUAUGGAAGUACAAUCCGUUGUGUAUUAUUUGCAAGUUCAGAAUAUGUAGGUUAACUCUUGAUUUUAAAAAAGAAAUAUGCUGUAGUCAGUUCCCAAUACUGCCAGAAAUAUUUGACAGUGCAUGGUAGUAGACAGUGCUCUUUACUGAGUUCUAUAAUGGAUGUUAUUGAAAAGAUUUAUGAUGACAGUGUGGUGCUGUAUGUUUUACAAGGAUUAAAAUUCAGUAUAACAUUUUGUAUGUCUCUGGUGUUGGAGCUAUUUAACUAUAUAGGAAACAUAAGAUGACUUCAUUUUAGUAACCAGAAGGAAUCUGUGUAAGCUCUUUUAUUACAGAUGGGAUGGAAUGAAUUCAGGAAAUAGCAAAUCUUUAUUCCUUAAACUGUUAAUGAUAUUUUGAGAUCAGUUUUUAAUUAUUUCUCAUUAACCAAAUUAAAAAUUCUGAAUGGUCGAAGAAGAAGAGCUCAUGCAUCUUGUUAAUAUGCUGGUUGUGUUUGUUUUACAGCAAGAAAAAAAAACAAACCAACAUUUCAGGUGAUGUCUGUUUUAAUUAGGUAACUACAUUUU